rnacentral:rRNA from 1 species
CUAUUCCUACGGGGGGCAGCAGUGAGGAAUAUUGGUCAAUGGGCGAGAGCCUGAACCAGCCAAGUCGCGUGAGGGAGUACUGCCCUAUGGGUUGUAAACCUCUUUUGUCGGGGAGCAAAAGCCGGACGUGUCCGGCUCUGAGAGUACCCGGAGAAAAAGCAUCGGCUAACUCCGUGCCAGCAGCCGCGGUAAUACGUAGGGGGCAAGCGUUAUCCGGAUUUACUGGGUGUAAAGGGAGCGUAGACGGAAAGGCAAGUCAGAAGUGAAAACCCAAGG